AUGAAGCCGGAAUCGCUAGUAAUCGCGGAUCAGAAUGCCGCGGUGAAUACGUUCCCGGGUCUUGUACACACCGCCCGUCACACCAUGGGAGCCGGGAAUGCCCGAAGUCAGUGGCCUAACCGCAAGGGGGGAGCUGCCGAAGGCAGGCCCGGUGACUGGGGUGAAGUCGUAACAAGGUAUC
rnacentral:rRNA from 1 species